GCGCUUAAACAAAAACACGCUCUCCUCUUUCGUAUUCACAAACCCUAAUAUACUGUCUCCGCUCUUUUUUCACCCGCUUCCUUUAAACCCUAAUUUCAGUUUCAUAUCCUGCCUCUUUCCAUCGUCUAUCUCUUUCUUGUAUGUUCAAUCCUUCAUCUACCUAACCCUAAUCACUAUCCCAUUCCAUCUGCUACAUAUUUUGCUUCUAUUAUACAAAAUAAUACAGUCAAGAAGCACUGCUCUCCGUUCACUCACGCCGUUUGAUUCGUCAGCUAAAACAUCUCAUGAGAGAAAGACCACUGAUGAGGAUCAUCGUUGUUGUUGAUGUUAGGUUUAGCGAAGGAUUGCCGCCGAUCCUUACGGCACUGGAGGUUUUGGAAACUCGAUGAGUGCUUGGAGUUGAUUUCGAAGUCGAUUAAGAACUCUAAGCUGUUAGUGUUAUCUUCUUGUGAGGGUUUCUGAUGGACUUGCUACUAUUGCCACCAAUUGCAGGACUCUGAAUCUAUAUAUUUAUCCAGCAUUCGGCAGUGCAAAGGCAUGUGAGCAGCAUAGGAGAUGUUCACUUGAAUGACAACAGUAGCAUGUAACGCUAAAAAAUCCCAUUGAUCAUUAUCACUAAAAAUGUUUGCACAUCUUUGAAAAAAAAGGCAAAUACUUCACAGGUGCCUUUCUACACAAAACAAUUCACCAGUCACCACCAAAAAGGAAAUGAAAUUUUUGUACACAACAUAACACAAAUUCUACAAAACUUUCUAAAUUGCAUUACACUCACACAUUGCACUACAUGAUAUGUGUUCACUAUGACUAAGCCAGUUAACCGUUGAGAAAAUUAAGUGCUAUGAGUUUUUCAGAUGCGCAACAGGCUACUGCUAACGCAUAAUCUAUGUUCAGUGGUCGACAGACAGUUGCCUACAAGCAACUCUUUUUCAAGCAAUCAUACAGGACCAAACAUCCUUUUUACAACAAACCAGUUACUCUUACUUGGGUCUUUUACUCUCAAAACCAUAGAGCCAUUUAGAGACCCGCUUUGGUGACAAACUGAUCUAGCCCCUAUCUAAUUCAAAGCCCAAGUCAUACAGUUCAUACAAAUAUGCAAUCCAUUCAGACGUAAACAUCACAUAUAGUUAUAUAUCUUACUCGAAUUUCUUAAAUCAAAAGAAUGCCAUCAAGAAACAUUUAUCCUCAUGUCUUUAACAAUUCCUCAUCCUAAAUACAUACCUAGGACUUCGAAUCUUAAUAUUCAUCCAGAUUUCUGCAGUCUGAAGGCAUGUAAGUUGCCUAGAACAUGUUGGCUUGAAAGAUAAAGUGGCAUGAAAACCAUGGUGAUGGGAUAGAGGUUGUAGGGAAGGCUGCUCAGGUUGAGUAUUUUGACUCCAUUAUACGGUUACAAGCAUGUUACAAGGUAUCUAGAUACGUUUGCACCAAGGCACGAGAUUUUAUGGCUACUGUAAACCAUUCCGCAUCACUCAUCAUUGGUAAAAAGGCACGCUUCAUAUCCAUCAAAGGUCCAGAAAUACCUAUAUUUUGCUUUAGUUUUACGCGUUAUGAGAUGCUUAACAACGGAGUUAAGAACAACAAACUGCUAACAGAUAUUACAUCGGCCGUGUUGACAAUAACUACUUAAUGUCAACUACAACAAACAAGAUUUUGAGAAAGGUCGCCAUGACAGAUGAAUGAGAUGAUACACCUCAUUGGGGAGGAAGUAGUAGCGGGAGACAUAGUGUCAAUCAUGUGCACACAAAUCUCCAACCACUAUGGUCUGAUGCAGUUAGAGUCGACACACCUGACCACUGCUGCUAUUAACCUAGAAUGCCCACGGCCCCACACAUCGCUGAUAAGAUAGCUGGGUUAGCGGUUGAAAGCGCUUCCGCCCUCAGAUGAAGCAGAUGACAACGAUCCACUGAUCAUACUACUAGAUCUGAAAUCACCAACUAGGCUAAAGCAUCGGACUAUAUAUAAGCGGGUAGCUUCUUACGAGGACUCUAAAGAUUUCAACAGAGAUGUGAGGUAAGUUUACAUAGCUUUGGAAAUUAAAAUUUUCUAACAUCUGAAGUUGGAUUAUUUGACAUGCCUGUUGAUAACUAACAAUAACUGUUGAUUGGCUUGAAGGCAACUUCUUGCCCCUGUUUAGCUGGGAGGGCAGCAAUUUCAUGGGUUGUUUUUUAUUCGUUAUGAUCAUCAUAAAUUUUAAUUCAAGUAUGGUUUUAGGGUUGUUUUAGUUUUAUACAUUUAGAAUAUGACCAGUUGAUUGUUAAAUUUGUCUUUCUUGACCAAAGACUCAAAAAACACUUUGUUUUAGGCUUGCUUUAAUUAUUGCUUAUGUUAAUUUUGUACCUGUAACUGCAUCGGUAUAUAAUGGUUUGUGAUGGAUAUACUUUUUGUUACUCAAAGUACGGAUGGAGUAGUCACAUUUACAAGUGUCGGUUGAAGUAAUAUACUACAAAUACCCACGUACGCGUAGUUUAGUGUUUAGCUUUAUGUUUAGAGUAAUAAACCACUAUUUGCAGGGAAGUGGAUUUGAAAAACUUUUUACUUUUUAGUACGCGUAACUUACUUCUAAAGCCUCAGUAAUACAAGUGUUCUUUUUGUUCAUUAUGAUUGCUUAUGAUCUAACUUUUACUAUUAUUUUUGAAAGUCGAGUCAUUUGAUUGUGAGGUAGGCAAUGGUUUAUAAAUAUAUUGAUUUUUAUUAUUAUUCUUUUUUUUUUUUGCAAAAAUAAGGUGCGUUUUAUGCUUUAGGAUAAAUAGUAGCUUGCGUUAAUGCUAUUUCUAUGACCUCUACUAUUUACAUGGUUUGUUGUGUAUAGAUCAAAAUGGUUAACCUGGCGUUCAAUACCUCAAGCUUUCUAUUCGUAAUUAUUGGUAAGGGGUCAAAACGGGGACACGUUGAACUUAGUAUAUUUUUAGUAUUGGUUACAAGCCAAAAUAUACAAGGUUAUUCACCCGAGGCCUGAAAACGCCCAAAAAUGCAAUUUUUUGGCGCUUCUUGGGUUUACUCGAGGUGUUAAGUGAAAAAAGCGAUGGCCCUUGCGCACAGUUACGCUUUUUAAGGACAAGAUUGUUAUGUUUUUGGGGAUUAUUGUUUGUUUUUGUGGAUGUGAAGUAAUGUGUUUGUGCUUUUUGGUAGUCCUUAGGUAAUUUGUGCGAUUUGCAGUACUUAACAACAGGUUUAGUGUUGAAUUAUGUGAAUUUUAUUGGAAUUAUUGAGUUUGCGUAGUGUUUCUGUGGAAUCUUCAAGUUCUAUGAUGAUGUAACACUACCCGUAGUUAAUUUGUUUUCAUAGCAAUAAAAGUUGGUUCAUAUAAAUAUCUUUGAACAAUAUGCUAAGUUAUGUUGUGUGUGUGUGUGUGUGUGUUUUUUUUUUUGUAAUUUUGCACUCUGUGACUUAAAUUCCGAAGGAACAGUUUCACUGCAAUGAUUGUGGAAUUUGUAGGUUAGUAAGGAAAAAAGUGAUAUUGUUUGUGAAUCUGUAUAUAUAUGAUUGUUCUUUAAUAUAGGCUGAUGACAAAGUGUAAAUGACUACAGAGCUUGUGGUACGAAUUUCUUCCAUUGCGAAAAGUGUGGAACAUGCUCAUUCUUUCAUGGGGUAUUCUGGUCUUUUUUAACUUUCAUAUCACCAAUUUUUUAUACAUGUGUUGUCACUUUUCAUAACCACUAAAAUGAACUUAUGAUCCAAUUUGACAUGUUCGUAUCUUAUGUGUUUUUUUUGAAGUCUAUCGUGAAGCAAAUAUAAGCUGAACCCCUUUGACUGGUGUCAUAGGAAGGCAGAUUCUGACGAGAACUUUUGGUUAUGGAAGAUCAUGUAUUGUAUGAUUUUCUAGGGCCUGCAAGAGAUGAAAAUGAAUAACAUGGGAGGCUAUUUUCAGAGCGAUUUAAUAUACUUUUUUUUCACGGAACAAUGUAUUUUUUUUAAAUAGUCUUCUUUUAAGUAAUCAGAUGUACUUACAGUCUCUUUUAUUGUUUUAUAUCACUUUCCGAUUGAUUUUGUUUGAAUUACCAGAUUGGAUCCGUAUGCUCUAAUAAGAUGGGAAAAACAGGGUUUAUCCAAUGGUGAUGAAUGGGUUUUCAAAUACAUCGGGAAAAGAAGGUAAGUUCUCAAUUUCAAAGGGAUAGAUGAAACAUUGAUGGUAUUCAAGUUAAGAACUAAAAGCUCUAAGGAUCGGAUACAAUCUUUUGGAUAUUAGUAAUUUUGGGUUUUAUGUUCAUGCUUUUUUUACUUGGAUUUUAUAUAUAACAUGAUGAAGUUUGUAUCCACUGCUAAAUCUUUUGAGUUUAAUAUUUUGCUGCAAGCUAUGGCUACUGUAGUGACUUGGGGUGGGGAAGGACAUGUGGGUUUGGGAGUUGCGUUGUAAAAGGGGUUUUUUCGGUCAGAAACGUAAAGAAGCAAGCCUUAAUUCUUAACCCAGACUAAGAGUGUUUUCAGUGUUUCUAGAAUAAUUGGGUACCAAAGAAGGUCGGAAUUGUGGCAUGGUGAGUGGAACUGAAUAGGCUCCCGACGUGCGACUCGCCGAGAAGAAGGAUCAUCCCAGUUCAAGACGAGAUGUGUCCGUUAUGUUGGAAAGCCCCUGAAUCUGUAGAACAUGUAUUUAAUUCGUGUCGGUUGGGGUAAGGUGGUUGCGUGUAUCAUGAAUCAUCUUCUCGAGCAGCAUAAGGCGAUAAUCGGAUCAAAGAAGGUUUAAAAAGAUUUUAGUGGGAUCUUGCAAACGGCUUUUUGAUGCCUCUGGAAGAUGAGAAACGCGGCUGUUUUUUAGAACAAACAGGGUACAAUAACAACCAUCAUUGAGGAGGUGAAGGUAAUGAGGUUUUCAUGAGUCAAAUUUUGAGCAUGCGCAAGAGCUUUAACGUGGAAGAUGUGGCGUAGGUUUGAUCUUAGCUGUAUAGGGUGAUGUUUUGUGGUCUGUUUGAUUUUUUAGCUAUUGUUCUUGGUGUAUAUAUGGGGUGUAAGUUUGUAAGUUUGUAAUCUGCAACUUGCAGAUGAUGAAAUAAAAGUUUAGUUGGCCGUUAGAAAAACAUGAUGAACUUUGCAAUGCUUAACUAUGUUUCUAAACUGUUAUCAUUUCAA